CCCCCUCCAUCCUGAGAGCAUUAUUGAUCUGAAGGGUAAAUGUGGAGGGAGCCACAGAGAGGGUCCAAGCGUUUCUGAGAAGAGAGGCUGCCUCUUCCAGGAACAAAGUGGUGUCUGCUGCCUGCCUGGCUUGGGAACCUUCUAUGAAUUAAAGGGGACAAAAUGAGCGGUCGUGGUUCGCUACAGUGAUUGAGAAGAGGAAAGAGACUGAGAGGCAGAGGGAGAAGUCGCACCUUGGAGCAAGGCUGUGUUGUUGCAUCCUGCUGCUGCCCUUUCUAGGUUGCUGUUCCUGCAGCUGCGUUUGCUCUCACCCAUCAGGUAAGGCUCUUUUUCUAACUAAGAUUGGAUUUGUGUGUGUGUGUGUGUGUGUGGUCGCUUCAGGGAACACGCACAGAGACGCAUGCAUGAUUAAUAAAGUGAUGCCGGGCUAGGCAAAGCUGGAGAAAGCUGUUCACCGACCCGGCAUCUGAAUCUGAAGCUUGUGAAAGAUUUGGCUUUAGGAAACUUCAGCAAGUUCUAAACAAGUCUGUAGUCUCUACAGCUGUGAGGCUGCCUAGAGAGAGAGGGACCCGUUCGCUCCUACUGCACCUCAGCUAGGCUAAAGGAGCAAAUGAAAAUUAAUGGAUAAGCCAUAAAGAGAUGUUCAACUGGUUAUUUUGUAAGAGCUCUCAGUGUGGUUAAACGCAACACAACCCUUUAGUUUCAAAAUGUCACCUCCCUUCACUACUUGCUUAACAGAGAGAAAUUUUGAAACAUUCUUAUUUAAAUUACAAGUGCGAAACGAUUUAAUAUUGCAUUACCUGGGUGUAUUGGCAUCUUGCGUUUUCUACCACAAAACUCACUUGGACAAUUACCACACAAGCUCAGGGUCAUAUAUUAUGAUCUGGAAAAUUUUUCAAAGCAAUCAAUUAUUUGAUGUAAGUAGAAAAAUGUAAGGAUUAUAUGGGACAGAGAACAUAGAAGCUAAAGGUUCUUUCAAGACAAGUAUUCAUAUUUUUAUAAAUAUUGUGCUUACCAGGAUUGGUUCUUGCACUCCUCUUAUAUUGAGAAUAUGGUGGCUUCAGUACUGUUGUACUUUAGGGUCUGUGAUGCCUCUUACGGAUACAUUUUUCCGUUCUCUCUCUAGAGGCAACUGACAUACUUUUGGCCGAUUCUGUAACCAUUUCUUAAUUUCCAGAUUCUCAUCUAGUAUUUUAAAGCUCAUUCACACAGUUCUCAGCAAGGAAAUCAGUUUAUAUACUUUGGAAAAUGUCCAUGAAGUAUUCUCAGAAUAUAUAUGCUCAGUUUACAUUAUUCUAGAAAUGACAAAAUAGUGGAAAAUCUAAACAAACAUCUGACCUUUUUAUUUUAUUUUUUAUUUUUUUCAGUACACUUGAUAAGAUGUGAAAUUUACAAAAUAGUACUUAAGUACUAGGCAUUUACUGACACCGAAUCUCAUUGUUUCCUUGCAUUAAAUUUUGCCACAUUAAACUAUGCAGUUUAAAAUAUCAUUUUAACUUUUUUGACAGUGUUGCUUGUUGAAAGGAAUAGAUGCAGGCUGUGAAUAUCCCCCUUCCUUCACAUAAUGUGCCUUCGGAAUUGAAAGGCAGCUGAGUAUUCUUUACUAGCUGUAAGCAGUUGAUUGACACAUUGUUUUGGAAGACUCCAGUGCAGAGCCAUAAGCCAAGUGGGAACUUACAUUUAACUAACUGCCAUAAUCUGCUUACUCAGCAACAACACGAGAGGGGCUCCUCAACCUGCUAAAAAAAAACUCUCAAAAUAAAAAGAUUCGUUAAUAACAUGAAAUACCACUUAAGAAUAUAGGAUCGUGUUCUUCAUCAACUAUACUACUUCAAAAUCUAACUUCAAACGUUAACCUGCAACUAAGCUUCUUAGUCACAGAAAGGGGAACAUUUUUGCUAUGUCUACUGUGCUCCCCUAACACUCAAUCGCUGUAUACUUCACUUCCACUGCCUUGUGCUGUUUUGUAAGCUGUCGGGAGAGUUUUAAGCCAAGUGAUUUUCUGACUAGAGCUCUCUUCUUCCACUGAUCUGUUUAGAGAUGGGAUUGUUUCAGAUAAUACCCACCAAAAAAAAAAAAAUACAGAGCUCAAUUAGCAGCAGAGAUUGUCAUUUGUUCUCUGUGUUAAGAUUUUUGUGGUAGCAAAAAAUAAAACUUAGCCUAUUGGAAAAAAUCCCAAAUAAUGCUUGAUUUGACAUACUUACCCCUGGAUUUGAGGGCACCAUUCUUUUCUACUUACGUCAAGCAAUUUUAUAUUUGGGACUGUGGCAGGUUUUAUUUCAUGGAAUAAUUUGUCAUAUAGGCUGAAAAACAACCAAUCUUAUGGUUUCAUGCUUGUUAGUAUGUAAGUCAUUCUUGUUUCUUAAAAUGCACUGUGAUGACACCUAAUUAUUCCUGCUAAUGAAUUAAACCUGCAGAUAUUCUGUUUAUACUGUGUUUAUGUGCAAUUUGAAGUAUCAAUUUCCUCACCUAUACCUAGAUGUCAUGCUAUUAAAUCUAAGUGUGUGUUAGAGAGAUGCAGGACGAUGCUUGUUUGCCAUGUUUUCUUAUAAAAAUUCUAAAUCUAAACCCUUGAAUAAUAAAAUGACCUAUUAGUACACCCUGUUACAAAUAUACUUACACUUCCAAAGGCAAGCAUUGCUACACCUGUCUAAUGCUAAGUAAGGUAGUAUUGUGUCUGUUGUUGAGUAAAUUACUGCUUUGUUUAUGUGAUUAUAGCCUAUAUUAUCAGUACCAAUCAAUAGACAGCAUUAAAUAGAUAUAGUGGUACCAAUCCUAUCUAUAUUAAAGCAUAAGUAGAAGCAGUUCAUCCAUUCUGCUUUAAAAUAUUGGCUCUUG
rnacentral:lncRNA from 1 species